rnacentral:rRNA from 1 species
GCACAACGCGAAGAACCUUACCCACCUUUGACAUGUACGGAAUCCUUUAGAGAUAGAGGAGUGCUCGAAAGAGAGCCGUAACACAGGUGCUGCAUGGCUGUCGUCAGCUCGUGUCGUGAGAUGUUGGGUUAAGUCCCGCAACGAGCGCAACCCUUGCCAUUAGUUGCUACGAAAGGGCACUCUAAUGGGACUGCCGGUGACAAACCGGAGGAAGGUGGGGAUGACGUCAAGUCCUCAUGGCCCUUAUAGGUGGGGCUACACACGUCAUACAAUGGCUGGUACAAAGGGUUGCCAACCCGCGAGGGGGAGCUAAUCCCAUAAAGCCAGUCGUAGUCCGGAUCGCAGCCUGCAACUCGACUGCGUGAAGUCGGAAUCGCUAGUAAUCGUGGAUCAGAAUGUCACGGUGAAUACGUUCCCGGGUCUUGUACACACCG